CAAUAGCGUAUACUAAUGUUGUUGCAGUUAAAAAGCUCGUAGUUGAACUUCUGGUAGGAGUGUCCCGGCCUUUUUGUUUUUACAAAUUGUAUGCUGUGUGACAUCUCUGGCCAUCCUUCUUCUUUGUUUAAAGAAGAUCUUUCACUGUAAAAAAAUUAGGGUGUUCAAAGCAAAAGUUUCUUUGGAAUAUAUUAGUAUGGGAUGAUAAGAUAGGCUCUAGAUGCUAUUUUGUUGGUUUGCACAUUUAGAGAAUGAUUAACGGGGACAGUUGGGGGUAUUCGUAUUUACAUGUCAGAGGUGAAAUUCUUGGAUUUUGGAAAGACGAACUACUGCGAAAGCAUUUACCAAGGAUGUUUUCAUUAA
rnacentral:rRNA from 1 species